rnacentral:sRNA from 1 species
GUCUGCACUUGUCGGGGAAGGGUGAGAACCUUCGACUAAGGUUCGAUUCGAGCGAAAGCGAGAGAACGUUGCCAACGGCAACGGCCCGUAGGUUGAGGAGCGAAGCGACGAAUAAUCCUUCCCCCACCACCA